UCAAAGCCAUAGCGAAGGAAUCCCUCUGCGAGCGGCGGAGAAACUUUCGCCCGCCUACCCCUCUCGGCUCGGCGAAUGGUUCAUUCCGGCUUUGGUCAUCGGAGGGCUCAGUGCGCGGCUCUCUAAGCGUCCUUGGUCGGUUGAGGCCCUAAGGUCGGUAGCUCGCUUGUAGGCCUUCAGGCCAGGUAAGGUUUGGGCGUAUUAAGAGCGGGGUGAUUCCGUGUUUUUGUUACGAAGAGACUGACUGCCAUUUACACCAAGUUAUGGGGGAGCCCUGGCUUGAAAUGCCGUGUCCAGUCCUGGUUGCCUCACUUCUGAAUAAUACCCCGUUGCUGGAAGCAGUGCCGUAGCUAUAGGGGCUUUGUUUAUUUCCUGACCCGGGUGAAGCCUCCAGAGGGACGCCAUUGAGGCUGCCAGCCUGUGUGUGUGUACCGAACUGGGCCUUUGACCUGGGUGAAAUAAAGCCUAAUUUCUUUCGCUUCUGUCUGGAAGCCACAAGGAGGGCGAGUAAGUGCAUGUGCAAGUGGCACGUAGGUCCUGCUUGCAGGUUUCCCGUAAAGCAGCUGGUUGGCCGCUGAGAGCAAGAUUAUUCAAUUGGCCUUGGGUAUCAAGCGAGGCUUUUCUUCAGCUGUAACAGAAAUGUUUAAAAUUAUGCAUGAUAGAAUGCAGUGCAUAAAGAGAAGCUUUGCUCCCUUUCCAUUAAAACGCUAGAAUUUGUGAACAUUCAGUUAAAACUGAUUUGCAGUAGGAGAUUAAAGCAGACUACUUAGAAGUAAGUCCCAUUGUGUUAAAUGAGGCUAACUCCCAGGUAAAUUGGAAUAGGACUGCAACCUUAAUUUUUUUUAUUCUAGGAUGUUUUUGUUUAACUGUUUACAAGUGGCUUAAAUGUUUCAGGCAUCCAUAAGUUAUCUGUUGAUUUUAUUUGAUUUUUGGUUCUCUUUCUUAUUAGUAAAUAUGGUGAAUAUUUUGCAUCUUGUGCGAGAACAUUGGGCCUUAAGUUUGGUCCCCAUAGGAUUUGUGUUGGGAUGUUACUUUGACAGGAAGAAUGAUGAGAAAAUGGCACUCUUCAGAAACAAAAGCAAGUUAUUUCAAAGGUCAGUAUUUCACUUAACUAACAUGUUAUUUGAUAGUAUAUUAACACUAUUUUGAAACAACAGGCCUGCUUCUUCAGCAAAGCAGCAGGAGGCGCUGCGCAGAGAGGGGGAGAAAUUUUUUUCUUGUUCUCCCCCUCUAAAACAAGGUGCGUUCAAGGUGCAUUCAGUCGCCUUCAGUGAAGGCAACCCGAAGCCUCCGGAGCGCAGCGGGAGUUCCCGCUUCGCUCCGGAGGCUUCAGGUUCCUUUCGACCUGCUCUUUGGGGCUGGCGGGAGGAAGCGCUGCUUUCCCCCACCGCCAGCAUCAAAGAGCAGGUCGAGGAGCAGCCGAAAGGCUGCGCGCAGCCUUCCCGCUGCUCCCCGAGGUUGUGGGGCUGGCAGUGGGGGAAGCGCUGCUUUCCCGCACCACCAGCCCCAGAGAGCAGGUCAGGGAGCAGCCGAAAGGCUGCACCCAGCCUUCCCGCUGUUCCUUGAGGUUGUGCAAUUUGGUGCAUAUGCGCAAAGCACGAUUUAGUGCUUCUGUGCAUGCGUGACCGCCGAAAUCUGGAAGUAACCCGUUCUGGGUACUUCCGGGUUUUAGCGGUCCGCAACCUGAAGCGGCUGUAACCCGAGGUAUGACUGUAUUUUUGUUAACUGUUUAGACACUUAGUUUACAAUUGAUAUACAAAUUUUAUUAAAUAAAUAAAUCGAAGCACCAGGCAAAGGCCUUUGGCAGUAAAGCAAUUAUUAGUUUGCUUUAAGUUUUUAACUGCUUCUUUUAUCUUUUUAAUCUUUUGUAGUAUUAUUUAUCGAUGUUUGUACUUAAUCUUUAAAGUAAUAUUAUGAAAGGAAAUAUAUAAACAUAUUAAAUCAUAUAAAUAAGAUUGUACACCCAUGUAAAGAAAAUAGGGGUUUGGAUCUUAAGUGAAAGCUACACCAUUAUUAUUAUUACUACUUUUUUAUUAUUAUAUUUUGCAAGCAAAUGGAGGGGAUGGAGGAAAGGUUGCAGCAUUUGGGACUUUCUAGUUUAGAGAAUAGGCUAGUGAGAGGCAACAUGAUAGAUGUUUAUAAAAUUGCAUGGCAUGGAGAAAGUUGAUAAAGGUUUUUCUCCCUCUCUCGUAACACUAGAAUGUGGAACCCAUAGUAGGCUGUGAGAGCAACCAACUUGGAUGGUUUUAAAAGAAGAUUAGACAAAUCCAUAGAGGAUAGUACUAUCAGUGGCUACUAACCCUGAUGGCAGUGUUCAGCCUCCAUGGUCAGAUGCAGUAAUGCUUCUGAAUACCUGUUGGUGAAAACUGCAGGAGGGCAGAAUGCUCUUGUUCUGGGAUCAUUUGCAGGUUUCUCACAGGGAUCUGUGAGAACAGGAAGCUGGGCUAGAUGGGCAAUUGGCCUGAUCCAGCCAGCUCUUCUUAGGUUCAGUAGAACAUAGAAGUGGCCGACACUUCUAUUGCCAACCCCCAGAAAUAGGUACAAAUUGUACAAAUGGGUGACCUGUGCUUGUGAAAAAUGUUGCCCAACCACUGUUACUGAAGUUAUACUUUGUGACCAGCUUGUGUGCAACCAUUUGCACAAUAUCAACUCGUAGGUUGCUUGUGCUACAUUGCAGUGGAUCUCCCCUAUUUCAGUUAGCUAGGGUUCAGCCCCCAAUCAGCUGUAAAGCUCACUGGGUAACCUUUUGCCAAUCUCUGUCUCCCAGCCUAAUUAUUUCAUAGGUUUCAUACAAAGAUAAAAUGGGAUAGUCAGUUUUGUAUAAAGUGCUUAGGGGGAUGAGUCAUGAACACAAUUUGAGGAGAUGUGAGGGGUAAUGACAACUACCUAAAUGCCUUUGAUUAAAUAAAAGGCAAAAGGGAAAUCAUUUACACAAAUUUGAUUUGAAGGUUGUUGUGGUUUUUAAUGAUGUUUUUAUUCAUGACUUUGUGAGAAGUAGUGGACAUAACAGUACAGAAAUUAGGUUUUGCUUUCCAAAUCAGUUACAAAGCAUCUAAUUACUUAACAGAACGUAUUUUACAUUUAUAAGCUAUGUUCUGGAAUAAUUCAUUCCUAAUUCUGUGGUCUUCUAUUUCCUUUCCACAGGGAAUUGAAACCUGGAGAAGAAGUCACAUGGCGAUAAUGUAUUAAAUGAGAAAUGCUUCCAGAUAAUUAAACUUGUAUCUAUAAGUGUGUGAUUGUGUUAUCAAAUGAAAUGAGGAAAUGAAGAAAUAUAUGGGCACUUUCCAGCCAGUUAAAGUGCAAUCCUGAAGGACUAUCUCUCUGUAUAUGAACAAGCUUGUACCCUACUCUCAGGCACACUUCCGUUGGCCAUACAAUGUUGGUAGAUGCUAGAUACGGGCCCUUUUUGGUGGUGAUGCUGCAAUUGUGGAAUUCCUUCUCUGGGGAGAUCAGACAGGGCCCUUUUCAUUCCAUUAAAACAAAAAAUGUCUUAACAUUCCACUCAAAGAGACAUUUGGCGUUUUAAAAAAUGGGUGAUAACCAACAAAGUCAUGUUCAGAGUAUUAUUAUUUGACUUGUUAGUUGUUUGUUUCACAGAAAUUUCAAAAUGACUUGCAGCAUAAAUAAAAAUACAUUGUAAUGUUGAUACGUUCAUACAAAAACAUGUGCAGUCCAUUAAAAAUACAGGAAAUAAUACCCUCUCUCCUGUGCCUCUCCCAAGAGCAGCAGAAAGCUAACAGCAAAACAUCAUCAUCAUAGUCUAUCAAAAGCCUGGAAAAAGAGAAGUUUUUGCCUGACACUGAAAAUAGCUGGUUAGGCCUGGGCGAUGUAUCAAUACAUUGCCUGGACCAGUAUGAGGGCCAGACCGCAAUGGUGGCUUCACCCAGUGGUAUAUCAUGAAUGAACCUGUCACUGCUCCUGAGUCCCUGCCACCAGUGCUCUGCGCACCAAAGGAAAAACAAACAGCAGCCGGCACUGGUGGCAGAGAGACUCUGGAGCAGUGGCGGUUUCACUCAAUAUACCGCUGGAUGAAACAGAUCGUACCCUGGCCAUCAUACAACUGAGGAAGGAACUGCCAAAGGAAAGCACCUGGUCAUGUGUCUGUGACCAUUGGUUCAGCACAAAAACCCACACUCUACUAACAGAACGCUGCUUCCCUGUUUCAUUGCAAAGAGUUGGGCAAUUCAUGUACUGUGAUAGCUCCAUGGGGACCCAAGCUGGCACCAUAAUGGCGGUGCCCUUGAAGCCCUACGGGACUGCAGCAAAAAUAACGUAACUUCUUCUCGCAACAUGUGCAAAGAUGGCAGCAGUUUUUGAAGGAUAAAAAUACCUAAAAUGCUCGGACUCUGUUGCAAUAACACACAAGCUUUAAAAUAAAGACAGGCCUAAUCUAUACUGGUGAGUUAUAAUGUGUAAUAAAAAUGUGACACCAGGGGGCGCUGUACAGCAGUC